ensembl:snoRNA
GCUGUGAUGACAUCAUUGACAAUGAUCUCAAUUGAUUUGAUUUUGUUCUCUAAGAAGUCCUGAGCUC